GACGAACGCUGGCGGCGUGCUUAACACAUGCAAGUCGAGCGGUAAGGCCCUUUCGGGGUACGACGAGCGGCGAACGGGUGAGUAACACGUGGGUGACCUGCCCUCAGCUCUGGGAUAAGCCCGGGAAACCGGGUCUAAUACCGGAUAUGACUCCGCGGCGCAUGUUGUGGGGUGGAAAGCCUUGUGCGGCUGGAGAUGGGCCCGCGGCCGUAUCAGCUUGUUGGUGGGGUGAUGGCC
rnacentral:rRNA from 1 species